GAUGUAGAAGAACUUCUAAGAAGUGAGAGUGGAGACAGAGGCCAAAGAUGCUGCUCUAGGCUGCUCCGUGAAUUCCAGGACUUCUGAGAAGCACCUUCUGGACAGCGUCUUUACUGCCCUCCAGGACUCAGCUGGUCAGCAAUGGCCAGCCAGACUCCAUCCCCAGCGUGGAGAGGAGGUAGCUGAUCCCAGAGGCGCUCCUAGCAGGCAUGUGGAACCCGAGAACAGCUCGCCCUGCCAAGGCAAUGGAGAGCAGGCCGGCAAGGCAGGAGCUCGGGCUCUGUGUGGCCAGGCAAGGAGGAGCCCCGCAACCAUGCCACCACCCCUUACUACAAGAAGCCUCUGUAUGGCAUCUCCCACAAGGUCAUGGAGAAGAAGAACCCUCCCUCGGGGGACCUGCUAAACACGUAUGAGCUCUUCCAGAAGGCAAAUUCCAGCAACAGCCCCUCGCUGCUUAGGCUCCUGAAUGAGCCAUAGAAGUGGGACUGUGGCAGCACUGGGGCAGCCACCAACAGUGACCCUAACAUCUACUUCCUGAUCCAGGAGAUGUUCUACAUGCUCAACACCCUCACGUCCAACAGGUCCCAGCUACACAGCAAAGUGGACCUGCUCUCCCUGAAGGUGAACCCCACUGAGAUGGUGGCCAAAUUCCAGCCGACCCCCACCACCCCGUAGCAGCUCACGGGCAUGGAGCUUAAGCAGAUCUUGGACCAGAGCCUGUCAGGCGGGGUCCUGGCCUGCUGCCCGCUGGUGCAGCUCUUCCCCAAGCUCUUCAGCCACAGUCAACUUCUCCCGAGGCUGCAGUGCCUGCAGCUUUGAGGCCAAGCUUAAGCUGGAGUCACUGCACCUGCAGCUCAUCCACAACUACAUGGAGGUCUACUACCCCUCGGUGAAGGAGAGGGCUGUGUGACAGGCCGAGUGCUUGCCCCAGCUGAAUAAGUUCUUCAGCCACUUCUGGGCCCAGCGGGAGAUGGAGAACAGCCAGCCCGGUGGCCAGGCUGCCAGCUUGAGGCUGAGCAGUGGACCCCGGCCACUUCCUGGACCACAAAGACGAGGAGGAGGGCCUGUCUCUGGACUGGAGCAGCACCAUCGCCUCAGACCACGUGGUGGACAUGUAGGCCCUCACUUAGUUCCUGCAUGAAGCCUCUUCACAGGCGAGUUUGCCGUCUUCCUCCUCCACUGGCUCUUCCCUGAGCUCUUCCACUACCGCAAGCUGGGCGAGCAGGACAGCUGCUACGGGGACGGCGGCAAGCAGGAGCUGGACCCGCAGAGGCUGCAGAUCAUCUGCAACUUCACGGAGGUCUACUUCCCCCACAUGCAGGAGGAGGAGGCCUGGCGGCAAGCAGGACCUGGACCCGCAGAGGCUGCAGAUCAUCUGCAACUUCACGGAGGUCUACUUCCCCCACAUGCAGGAGGAGGAGGCCUGGCUGCAGCGGUGCGCCCAGUGCAUCAACGACAAGCUUCAGGGCCUGGGGCUGGACGCAGGCAGCGAAGGCGAGCCCCCCACGCGACAACUGCUACAACUCCUCCAGCCUGCCCGAUGACAUCUCAGUAAUCAGGGUGGAGGAUAGCUUCAAGGGCGAGCGGUGCCGCUCCAAGAAGAUCUGACUGGUACCUAUCGACUUGGUCAAAUUGGAGAUCCCCAGCCCAACUUGGAGGUGCCCGGCGCCGACGGCCUGCUCAGCAACGAGCAUCUUCACAGUAUCUACGAGAGCAGCCUGUCCAUCGGCAACUUCACCUCGCGCCUGCUGGUGCCCCUAUUCCCCAAGCUCUUCACCCAUGACAACCUGCACAAGCAGCACAGCUGCAGCGACUCCCUGGGCAAGAAGCAGCUGGACCCGUCCUGCAUCAAGCUCAUUCGCCACUAAGUGCACCUGCUCUACCUCUGCACCAAAAACAAUCGCGUCUGGACCCUUGAGUUCAUGGGCAACCUGCACUGGAACAGGAACAGAGGCGCUCCUACCAGCAGCAGUGCAAGGUCCACGUGCUGGCCCCGAGUGUAAAGACAUGAGGAGCUAUGCAAUCAAUCCUGAGAGGUUCAGAGAGGAGUCUGAGGGUCCCCCGCUGCCCCCGAGAGGAGCAGCAAGGACUUCUGCAAGAUCCCCUUGGAUGAGGUGGUGGUCCCUCACUGAGCUUCCCGGUGCGCUCUCCCUACCUGCUGUCCGACAAGGAGGUGUGCAAGAUCGUGCAGCAGAGCCUCUCCGUGGGCAACUUUGCCGCGGGGCUCCUCCACCGCCGAGAACCUCCAGCUGCAGUACAACAAUUUUCGGGCUUGCAACAAGAAGCAGCUGGACCCUACGCAGCUGCGGCUCAUCUGCCACUAGGUGGAAGCCGUCUACCCCGUGGAGAAGGUGGAGGAGGUGUGGCACUGCGAAUGUAUCCCCAGCAACGACGAGCAGUGCCACUGCCCUAACAGGAAAAAAUGCAACAUCCUCAAGAAAGCCAAGAAAGUGGAGAAGUGAAGGCCCGUGGCCUGCCCAGAGACUCGGGGUCACCAGAGACUGAGCUUAGGAGCAUGCCUAUGGCAUCCACAGACAGGCACCUUAUGUCUGUGGGGUGUGGCUUACUACACUUGCACAUGUAAACACCCAACCAACCACAAGAAAGAAGACUUGAGUUUGGUCUCUUGUCCUCUAGACUUCUGUCCUGUGUUCCCUGGUGGUGCAGCCUGAGUGUGGGGAGCGCAAGCUGUGAGAGCAGGGACUAGUGGGUAGGGGUCCUCUCUACCUGGUCGUGUCCUCCCCAGCCCCUCACAAUUUCAAAUGCAAACUCAGCAGCUCUCUUGCUCCUCUUCCCAUAUUUUACAGCUUUCAUUUUUAUCCAGUUUUUUUAAAAUGAAAAAUAAACCCUUAAAAAAAUCAUUGGGCUCUUUGGGGGCCAUUUUACUUAGAAAAAAAUCUUUUUAAAAGUGCCAUCUUCAGGCCAGGCACGGUGGCUCAUGCCUGUAAUCCCAGCACUUUGGGAGGCCAAGGCAGGUGGAUUACCUGAGGUCAGGAGUUCAGGACCAGCCUGGCCAACGGUGAAACCCCAUCUCUACUUAAAAAAAAAAGAAGCAAAAAUUAGCCAGGCGUAGUGGUGGGUGCCUGUAAUCCCAGCUAGUCAGGAGGCCGACAGGAGAAUCACUUGAACUCGGAAGGCAGAGGUUGCAGUGAGCCAACAUAGCGCCACUGCGCUCCAGCCUGGGCGAAAAGAGCAAAACUCCGUCUCAAAAUAAAUAAUAAAUAAAUAAAUAAGUAAAUAAAAGUGCCAUGUUCGUGUACAAUGCCUAAUCAUAGCUUCAGGUGACAUGGAUACUGAUUUUACUGACCUUGUCUUUUACAUCUGAUUCUGGAAGAGUCAAGAGGCCUCUUGGAUGGCAGUAGAGGGGAUGGAACAGUGUGAAGUCCUUUGCGACCAUGUGCAAGUUUUCCCUUCUGCUCCAGUGCCUCAGAAGGCUUCCAUUCAGCUUGGCCUGUCCAUCAGGCACGUGGGUAAAAUGUUGUGCUCACUGUGUAGAGGAGAACACUCGAUGAUGAUGAAGAAUGUAGAAAGCCAUGGAAACAUGUCCGCAGUGUCUUCAUUUGAGCUGUGUCCUUCCACUGUCCCCAUUCCCUCUCCACACAUGGUUGCUUGUCAGAGAUUCUGGGUUCUGGGAGCUGUGUGGUGACUUCCCCAAACCUCAGUGUUAGCUCCUCCAGGCAGCACCACAUCCUCGUUCCCCAGGGCGGUCCAUGUCUGGGCCCCUCUUGGGGAUACCAGGCAUUGGAAGGACACAGGUCAUCUCAGAUGGGGCACCCAUGUCCCUUCCCAGGGUCCACUCAGAACUUUCCCCUUGGACCCCCUAGAAAGUCCUGCUGUCCUCCACCUGGCUACCUCUUGGCUUUGGGAGACACAUGUCUUCUCUCCCCACUGACUGAGAAUGUCAGACUCCCGCCGGCCAGCUGCAUGCUUUCCAGGAGCACCAACCAGGAAAUUCCCUGACAGGUAAAAUCUUUAAAAAUGACACUUUUACCUACCUAACUUUGGGGGCCAAAUGCCUAAGAGGGAAAGGAAACAGUCUAACCAGGGUCCAGGAAAAUUAAUUGAAUCCCAUGGGGUAGACAUAAAACCCCUGUGGGAAUAUUACAGGUUCAAUAACCUAAUGGCUUAGUAUUUUGCUACUUUAAAAUGCAGAGAUAACAGAAACAAUCUGAAUAUUCUUCACAUAGCUGGUAAGGACUUCAGUUCCAGUGGCCAUAUGACAUAAUUUUGCCUGUACCCAGAGGCAUUUUUAAAAAUAUAAUAUCAGAUUUUAAGCAAUGUAAAGUUGCUAAUCUAACUUGUAAAUUUGCUCGUGUCAUUUACAGAUUAUUUCUGUUGAAACUGCAAACCUGAAUUGCUGAAAUCUAGAAAGGCACAGGGACUUACUCUGUCACACACAGCUACUCGUGCACACACACACUGCUUACUAAAAGCUGAGGUGAGAGGAAGGGGGCCUACAUGAAUAACAAGUUCAACUUCUUUGUGCCUGGAAAGAAGGGACUAGCGCAGCCAGGAGACUCACUUUACCUCAUUGCUUGGGCCCUUCUCUAUGCCUUAGUCUCUCCAGCACAUGCACACAGCAUGCACACACAGGCUCCCUACCCAAAGACAGCUGUGGCCUUCUCUCCACCUGGCCGCUGGUUGUUGGGGCUGAGGGGUCCCAUGAAAUUUGUUCUGGUUUCUAUGAUGUAAACAAGAAGACUCUAAGCCCUGAAUUGCCCUGCUUUCUAGAGGGUGAAAUGUUGACCCUGCAACUUUAGAACCACAAUUAUUAAUAACUCUUUUGAAAUUCCCAUCUACCCAUGUCAGAGAAGUUCAACAAGUUCUAGGAAUUAAAUAUGUCUGUUUGUAACCUAGAGCAUGCUCAAUUUUUGGAAACCAUAUUUCAGUGAUGAUUUUCUUAACACCUUUCACGUGUAGGGCUUCUUGCCUCAAAAUGUUACAGUCCCUUUCUGUGAAGAGAAAUGGACACAUCCUGGGAACUAUUCCUGUCCCUCUGGACUGUCGUCAGGAAACGACUGCAGGUCCUGUGCCCUGUCUAUAUCAUGUCCUCACUUCUCCAUCCAUACAGGUGGCUCCAGUGGGCAUUUUUUUAUUUUAAACUUUUUACACGAAGGAAGAGAAGUAGAAAAUACUGAUUUUUUUCAAAAUUUAAUGUGUUCCAUGAAAUCUACUGGCAAUCCCUUUCCUUCCCCCUGUCUAAAUUCUUUGGUUUUUACUUGUUUGUUUUUUUUUGUCUUGUAUCCCAAGGACUAAAAAAUUAGCAGACACGUUUUGAUGUUGACUGAACUAGUAAGUCACAGUAGGUGGUAGGGUUCAUUGGUUUCUCUGUUAGUAAGUUUUUAAAGAAUGAAGAUAGUUAUGAAUGUACUGAGUGGCCGUUUAAUUGGUAAGGGUCGCUGACCCAAAAACACUAGAGCAUGGCCACGUGGUUUCCUGUAGAGACGGCCUCAGUUUCCAACAUUUUCCCCAAAUGUUUGCUUCUCACCCAAUAGAGGGAGGAUCUUGAGACUCCCAAGUGGUGGUGAGCUUGCACCCUGCCUCACUGUGUAGACAGACUGUAUGGAUAUAUGAAGUGGGGGUGGGGGCCAAGGGGCUAUUACUGCUGUUUGGAAAUAUUUGCCUCUUGUAGAUCCAGCCUUAAUGGUUUUGUGACAUCCUAGUACUAGCAAACCCUGCACAAAGUGGGUAUCAGAGUUAAUACUGUGAGGAGACAAAGUAGUGAGAAUAGUUUUGCUAAAGAUAAUGAAGUGUCACAUAAUGUCUGCAUUUUACCAUUGAUUUGAGUGCAUCCUUAGAAAAACUUAAUGUAAUGAAAAACCCAGGACAUUUUUGGAAAUCGUAUGCUCUCUAGCAACUUUGUGUGAAUUUUUAUACAAACACUGUUUUAUGAGUUACAUAAAAUGUUAUAAAAAUAGAAAAA